UACGUAGGGGGCAAGCGUUGUCCGGAAUCAUUGGGCGUAAAGAGCGUGUAGGCGGCUUGGUAAGUCCGCUGUGAAAGUCCAGGGCUCAACCCUGGAAUGCCGGUGGAAACUGUCAAGCUUGAGUCCGGAAGAGGCGAAGUGGAAUUCCUGGUGUAGCGGUGAAAUGCGCAGAUAUCAGGAGGAACACCAAUGGCGAAGGCAGCUCGCUGGGACGGUACUGACGCUGAGACGCGAAAGCGUGGGGAGCAAACAGG
rnacentral:rRNA from 1 species